UACGUAGGGGGCGAGCGUUGUCCGGAUUUAUUGGGCGUAAAGAGCGUGUAGGCGGCUUGGUAGGUCCGCUGUGAAAACUCGGGGCUCAACCCCGAGAGGUCGGUGGAAACCAUCUGGCUAGAGUCCGGAAGAGGAGAGUGGAAUUCCCGGUGUAGCGGUGAAAUGCGCAGAUAUCGGGAAGAACACCCGUGGCGAAGGCGGCUCUCUGGGACGGUACUGACGCUGAGACGCGAAAGCGUGGGGAGCGAACAGG
rnacentral:rRNA from 1 species